UACGUAGGGGGCGAGCGUUGUCCGGAAUUACUGGGCGUAAAGAGCGCGUAGCGGCGCCAUAAGUUCCGUGUGAAAGCCCCCGGCUCAACUGGGGAGGGUCGCGGAAGACUGUGGUGCUGGAGUGUCGGAGAGGGAAGUGGAAGUCCCGGAGUAGGGGUGAAAUGUGUAGAGAUCGGGAGGAACACCGGUGGCGAAGGCGGGUCUCUGGGCAAUUCCUGACGCUGAGGCGCGAAAGCGUGGGGAGCAAACGGG
rnacentral:rRNA from 1 species